rnacentral:rRNA from 2 species
AGAUGACUCUCGGCAACGGAUAUCUUGGUCCUCGCAUCGAUGAAGAACGUAGCGAAAUGCGAUACUUGGUGUGAAUUGCAGAAUCCCGUGAACCAUCGAGUUUUUGAACGCAAGUUGCGCCCUAAGCCUCCGGGCCGAGGGCAAGCCUGCGUGGGCGUCAAGU